AUUGAACGCUGGCGGCAGGCCUAACACAUGCAAGUCGACCGAGUGGCGGACGGGUGCGUAAUGUCUGGGAAACUGCCUGAUGGAGGGGGAUAACUACUGGAAACGGUAGCCAAUACCGCAUACCAUGGGAUGUGCUCAGAUGGAAUUAGCUAGUAGGUGGGGUAAAGGCUCACCUAGGCGACGAUCCCUAGCUGGUCUGAGAGGAUGACCAGCCAAGCUGGAACUGGGACACGGUCCAGACUCCUACGGGAGUCAGCAGUGGGGAAUAUUGCACAAUGGGCGCAAGCCUGAUGCAGCCAUGCCGCGUGUAUGAAGAAGGCCUUCGGGUUGUAACGUACUUUCAGCGGGGAGGCGUUACCCGCAGAAGAAGCACCGGCUAACUCCGUGCCAGCAGCCGCGGUAAUUC
rnacentral:rRNA from 1 species